UGUCUGGCGGCAAUAGCGAGUAGGAACCACCCGAUCCCAUCCCGAACUCGGAAGUGAAACUGCUCUGCGCCGAUGGUAGUGUGGGGUCUCCCCAUGUGAGAGUAGGUCACCGCCAGGCAUUA
rnacentral:rRNA from 1 species